rnacentral:rRNA from 2 species
AAGCUGGAGCUUGCUCUAGUGGAUUAGUGGCGAACGGGUGAGUAACACGUGAGCAAUCUGCCCUUGACUCUGGGAUAACUGCGGGAAACUGUAGCUAAUACCGGAUACGACACCUUGGGGCAUCCCGAGGUGUGGAAAGAAUUUCGGUCAAGGAUGAGCUCGCGGCCUAUCAGCUUGUUGGUGAGGUAAAAGCUCACCAAGGCGACGACGGGUAGCCGGCCUGAGAGGGUGACCGGCCACACUGGAACUGAGAUACGGUCCAGACUCC